rnacentral:lncRNA from 1 species
CCGCACUCCCCAGGCGCACCACAUUUCAGCACGACGGACAGCGCAGCACUGGGGCGCGACUGGGGAGGCGGGGACCAAUACCACGCUGUUUCAGCCCGGCUUUUUCAAAUCUCUCGGGUCUCCGCCCUCAUUUCCGUGCAUUUUCGAAACGACUGUCACAGCAACCGAAGCCACAAAAACACAUUCACAGAAAACGGGGAAGCUCCAGGGUUCGCUUACCGUCUGACAAGUCAAUCAGUCCGAGUGAAAAACCCAACAAGCUGGUCUGGAACAUAUGUGGUCCCUGCUUUGACACAGUGAAAUGUCCCUGGAAACUGUACCACCAGGAAAGCUAUGGAAAGAAUGAUGCAAGAAGGCAGAGUAGUGGUUCCCACUGUCUGCUUUGCUGUUACUGUGUAAAGACUUACAUUCUUCCAAGAAUUCUGACUUCACAGACAGCUCCCCUUCUGGAUUGUCUCCUAACCUUGAACUUUAGGAGCAACUGUGUCUCAGGUGAGUCACCUCAGUGGCAACCAGAAAGACUUACCUACUAUUUCCUAGAAAUGGUGAGGUGCCACUUCUUAUCCCCAAUAACGUCAGAAGGAAAUCCAGGUCUCAUAGUAGUGGGUGUCUGCGUGACAACCCAAAAUCUACCUGCCUCCAAAGUCUG